GACGAACGCUGGCGGCGUGCCUAAUACAUGCAAGUAGAACGCUGAAGAGAGGAGCUUGCUCUUCUUGGAUGAGUUGCGAACGGGUGAGUAACGCGUAGGUAACCUGCCUUGUAGCGGGGGAUAACUAUUGGAAACGAUAGCUAAUACCGCAUAACAAUGGAUGACACAUGUCAUUUAUUUGAAAGGGGCAAUUGCUCCACUACAAGAUGGACCUGCGUUGUAUUAGCUAGUAGGUGAGGUAACGGCUCACCUAGGCGACGAUACAUAGCCGACCUGAGAGGGUGAUCGGCCACACUGGGACUGAGACACGGCCCAGACUCCUACGGGAGGCAGCAGUAGGGAAUCUUCGGCAAUGGGGGCAACCCUGACCGAGCAACGCCGCGUGAGUGAAGAAGGUUUUCGGAUCGUAAAGCUCUGUUGUAAGUCAAGAACGAGUGUGAGAGUGGAAAGUUCACACUGUGACGGUAGCUUACCAGAAAGGGACGGCUAACUACGUGCCAGCAGCCGCGGUAAUACGUAGGUCCCGAGCGUUGUCCGGAUUUAUUGGGCGUAAAGCGAGCGCAGGCGGUUUGAUAAGUCUGAAGUUAAAGGCUGUGGCUCAACCAUAGUUCGCUUUGGAAACUGUCAAACUUGAGUGCAGAAGGGGAGAGUGGAAUUCCAUGUGUAGCGGUGAAAUGCGUAGAUAUAUGGAGGAACACCGGUGGCGAAAGCGGCUCUCUGGUCUGUAACUGACGCUGAGGCUCGAAAGCGUGGGGAGCGAACAGGAUUAGAUACCCUGGUAGUCCACGCCGUAAACGAUGAGUGCUAGGUGUUGGAUCCUUUCCGGGAUUCAGUGCCGCAGCUAACGCAUUAAGCACUCCGCCUGGGGAGUACGACCGCAAGGUUGAAACUCAAAGGAAUUGACGGGGGCCCGCACAAGCGGUGGAGCAUGUGGUUUAAUUCGAAGCAACGCGAAGAACCUUACCAGGUCUUGACAUCCCGAUGCUAUUUCUAGAGAUAGAGAGUUACUUCGGUACAUCGGUGACAGGUGGUGCAUGGUUGUCGUCAGCUCGUGUCGUGAGAUGUUGGGUUAAGUCCCGCAACGAGCGCAACCCCUAUUGUUAGUUGCCAUCAUUCAGUUGGGCACUCUAGCGAGACUGCCGGUAAUAAACCGGAGGAAGGUGGGGAUGACGUCAAAUCAUCAUGCCCCUUAUGACCUGGGCUACACACGUGCUACAAUGGUUGGUACAACGAGUUGCGAGUCGGUGACGGCAAGCUAAUCUCUUAAAGCCAAUCUCAGUUCGGAUUGUAGGCUGCAACUCGCCUACAUGAAGUCGGAAUCGCUAGUAAUCGCGGAUCAGCACGCCGCGGUGAAUACGUUCCCGGGCCU
rnacentral:rRNA from 1 species